GUCUCAAAAAGUUUGGCC
rnacentral:rRNA from 1 species